AAGUUGACCUUUAAAAUCCUUAGUACGAUACACGCAUGCUCGACAGGUAUUUACAAGAACAGAGAAGUAAAUUACAGGGCAGAUAAGAAAAUGGCAGGUCAGUAAUGUUUUUAUGUCUUUUUUACUGGUAUUUUUGUCGAAGUUAUGAAAUAUCUUAUUGUUAUGUUUAUGUCAUUAUGUGUAUUAUUAUCACAAGAAGUUUGUUUCGAUUUUUUUUCUAAAGUGAUGUGGCAGAUAUUCCAUUGUCAAUGUUAUCUAUAAUGCAUAUUCAUUGAUCUUUAUACACGCUUGGAUUUUGUUUAUCUUAUACCGUUUUAAACAUUAUAGUCUGAUCUGCUAAACUGCAAUUAGCCCAUAUUGUUUGGUCAUGUUGCUGUACCAUGGCGGUCAUGUUGCUGCACCAUGGCGAUCUACUCACGUCGUACAUAAAACAUUCGUACACACACUUUUUUCGUAAAAUAAAAUGGCGUCGUUCGAAAUAAUCUUUUAAUCGGAAGGUUUGAAUUAUCGUAUAUAUAAAAAGAGUUUUGCUUUGUACAGUACUUGAAUAUUUGUUACCCUCUAUUAUGUAAAUUCAGGUGUAUGGACCAUAUCUCUUAGGAGAUGAAGACCAUUAACUUUUUCAAUGUAAUCAUUUCAGUUUAUCCAGAAAAAAAUCUUCCUCGUUACUAGUAAACACACCCUAAUACUCCUAAAUACUCGUUACAAUUACACACACUAUAAUGAACAAAAAAGAAAAAAAUGCAUCGAAAAAGUUGGCACUUUUUUUGUAGAAAUACACUGUCUGCUUUUGGUUAAUAUGUACAUCUAUUCUCCACUACUUGAUAUGAUAUGUAUAAAACUUAUGUUGUCUUGCAUAUCACCUUGUUUGUUUGUUUUGUAAAUAUUUUCAUGUUAUGAUCACUUGGCCUUAGUGGGCCCUGAUUGAAACAAAAUCUUGAAUCUUGCUAAUUACAAUUUAACGUGGGCGGGUCAUUUUAGAUGUUAAGAAGAUCAACGUUCCUGUUUCAAUUUUUCUGAUACUCAUGUACAGCAAACCACUUCUUUCAAAUCAUCAAUUAAAUAAUUGGUAGCACGAUUAACAGAUUUACAAGAAGUUCCAAUGUGGUUUAUACCCGCCGAAACGCACAAAAUAUAACAUAUAGAAUUCAAUUCUUAACAACCCUCUGAAGUAACAAAUUAAACCGUGUUUCGACAACUUACGAUGACAGGAACAUAAAAUCAAAACACUUCCCAUACUAAAUAGGUGUUCCCGCAUAAAAACAACAAUCUCGCCGGGUUCAUGCAUAGUUCUAAGCACAAAUAAUGAAACAAGAGUUCUCAAUAUUUUUGAAAACAUCUUAAUUAGGGAGAAUGUGCUAUAUUUAUGAUUAUUGAAAAUAUAAGUUCGCUGUCUAGGGAACAGAUUCCCGUUCUCUAGCCACUUCCUAACAGGCAUUUUAUGCUCUUUUUUGUAACGUCGUACAAAUGUUAUCGUAGCAUUUACAAAACAAUGCAUGUUUUUCAUUUAAAACAUUUUCUGUUUUAUAUUUCAUGGUGACAACAAAUACCCGGUAUAUCUGCUCCUUCUAUAGAUGAAACAACAAGGGGUUCCGUAGGACCAUACACAUGUCACAAGGAUGCUUUGUACGUCGUUAUAGCUAUAGCUGUAAUAGUUGGAGUUGCAUGUGUCAUGCUUAUAUUGUGGAUCAUGAGGCUGAAAAGAAGACAAAACGGUUACGCUCCUGUGCGUGGAAAUGAAGACGAAGUACAGAAGUAUAAAGACUUUUACGAGGAAAAGAAUAAAGAGAAAAGGCACGCUCUGCAGGAAGUAGAAACGUUUAAAGUUUUGCUUGACGAGGAGAAGAGGGAAGUACGAAAACAAAAAGCAAUGUAUGAAGAAGAGAAAGGUGAAAAAGAAGACCUACAGAGUUAUGUAUCUGUUACGUCUAAAGGUUGAGUAAACUGAUGUCGAACCGACUUACGGAUGGUAAUCCGAACAUUGCUAAUCUAAGCGAUACGAAGAGACCGACAAAAUUAGCUGAUGAGUUAUCUGAACUAUACGACAAUGAAUGGACUGGGGCUUUUGAAAGUCUUCAAAUUAUUGAUAGUAAGGAGGAAAAAGAGACAAUACAUUUCUUGUACGAUGUUUUGCAGAUUUCAUUCGGAUGGUGCAAACUCCAAGCAUAUCAACAGUUGCAGAAAUUAAAAAGGCAGUUUCUUUGCCCCGGAGAAUCAGAAGCAAAUACAACUGUUGAUGUAAAUGUCAGCAAAGAUUCAAGGACAGUAGGAAAAUUUUAGCAGAGAAGACAGUAGCAUACGUAUCAAAGAAAGUGCUUGAUGAAGUUAAAAGGAAAUUCAGGGAGUAAGAAUGGGAAAAAGCUCUCCUGCAGAAACCAGUUGAAGCAUACUGCAGAAAAUGUGCGGAGUUGACCUGGUUUCUCGCUGUGCAAAAUCCGCCCAUGCACAUUAAGUUUACUGAUGUGAAAGCUGAAGAUGUCAAAGCUUAUACAAAGUCUGGAAAUGAAAUGGACUUCGUCGUAUGGCCACCACUGUAUUUGCAAGAAAAGGGAAACCUUAUGAGCAAGGGCAUAGCUCAAUUUCGAAUGAAUCGGAUGUUUUGCCUCUGUGUUAAGGCCGUCGCGGACGGACCGGCCGAUCCGGACAUAUUUUUGGCCGAGCAUAAUAUCGGCCGGAAUCGGCCGUACCAAUAUUUUUUCGCAUUUUCAUCUUUUACUUUGAUUAAAAGUGCCGAAAUAUUGCCUUAUUAAUGUAAUUAUCCACAACGAGCGGUAUCUGUCACGAUGUAAACAACUUCGGCACACUUCGUGUCAAACGUAUCGACCCUGCUUGAUUGGAUUAAUCAUAAUUAAACGAUUAUCUGAUGUAUCUUUAAUCCAAUAUGGUUUAAAGGGCGAUUUCUUUAAUAAUCUAUUAUAAUUGUUUAAAUAGAUCUAAAACUUAUUGCUUAACUUAUCGUCAAGUUCGAAUCUUGACAAAGCCUUCAUUAUUAAUUUCGGACUGGUAGGGUGCUAGCGUAUCGUUCAAAUAGCAUAAGUCGUCCAGGUGCCAUCAUGAGUCGGUAACGUUGUGGUAACGUUGCCAAAAGUGACUAAGGACAUAGAUGAAUCAUUGUCGAAAUUGACUGAAAAUCUUAACCGAAAAUGCUUUCAAGAUGCAAGAAAACACGUAUUUAAUGACACCACAAAUCAUAAUUUUUUCUCAAGGGGACCCCCGAUCCCCACUUGAGAGAGAAGGGGAAACCCACCUCUCGUGCCUUAGGCUCUCGCGGGAAGCCUUCGGCAUCCCAUGACGGACCCCUUUUUCGAAGCCGAUGGGUACGUUUUACUAUCAUAAUGAGAGAAUUAGUUUCUAUCUUAAGACAUAGCAACAGUUUUUGCUAUUGUUACCUCUUACACAGUGUACUAUCAGCGAUACUUGCAUAAUGUUUAUUAUUAUGUGCAGCUGGCUUUACAUUCUGUACAUUCAAGAAGUUUGUAUCUUAUAUGGUAGAUUAUCAUGUACGGAAAUAUUACACUAUUCAUUUUAUGUGUAGCAAUUAAUAUGUUUAUCAUUUAACUUUGGAAUUUAACAAUUACUUAAAACUUAAAACAUUUACACAUUAACAAAAGAAUGACAUAACCUGUCUAUACAAAAUUACAAAAUUCAGGUAACAAUAGCAAAAAAUGUUGAUAUGUUUUAAGAUAGAAACAUUUUCUCUCAUUAUGGUAGUAAAAUGUACACCAUCGGCGAGCCUUUGUCUGAAAACUCUCAUCCAGUUUUUAUUUUGGUCAUUCAAUUGUAUUUUAAAGCCAGCCAGACAUUUUCAGUCACAUUUAAAACUGACAGAGCAGUCCAUGGUAUAUAGUUUUGAUAGGAUGUGUCGUGUGAUGUAUUCUUAUGACUCGAGAAUGACGGGUUUGGGCAUUGUCACUCGGAUAAGUCUCUUUGGUACUUACCAGAUGCUUUCGUCUUUGAUACUUCUAUAUCUAUCUGAAUGUUAAAGAACGUAUUCCGGCUCAACAAAUGCACCCGAUACAAUCACCGGAAAUAUGUUUGCUACAGGCGGAAUUAUAUCCGGUCUGCAGGCUUUUCCUCUCUUUCGUUAAACAUGAACUCUUUUGUUUUCUAAUAACAUCAGAAAAAAUAUGGUCGUUCCUUCGGGAAGCAGCAAGAUUUUAUCCUCUUUUUCCUAUAUACAAAUUAAACUAACGUUGACUGACCAAGUUC